UCUCUGAUAGUAUAUCGGUUAGUACACGCGCCUGUCACAAUCCAUGUUGCCGGGGUACGCGCGAAAGCUGGGUUCGACUCCCAGUCAGAGAG